GAAAAUUCCGCUAAAGAGGGUGAAAGCCCCGUAGACGAAAUGCUAACAACACCUAGGAGGAUCCUGAGUACGGCGGAACACGAGAAAUUCCGUCGGAAUCCGCGGGGACCAUCCCGCAAGGCUAAAUACUCCCUAGUGACCGAUAGUGAACCAGUACCGUGAGGGAAAGGUGAAAAGCACCCCGGAAGGGGAGUGAAAUAGAUCCUGAAACCGUGUGCCUACAACAAGUCAAAGCUCGUUAAUGAGUGAUGGCGUGCCUUUUGUAGAAUGAACCGGCGAGUUACGAUUGCAUGCGAGGUUAAGUCGAAGAGACGGAGCCGCAGCGAAAGCGAGUCUGAAUAGGGCGAAUGAGUAUGUAGUCGUAGACCCGAAACCAUGUGAUCUACCCAUGUCCAGGUUGAAGGUGCGGUAAAACGCACUGGAGGACCGAACCCACGUACGUUGAAAAGUGCGGGGAUGAGGUGUGGGUAGCGGAGAAAUUCCAAACGAACUUGGAGAUAGCUGGUUCUCUCCGAAAUAGCUUUAGGGCUAGCCUCGGAAUUGAGAAUGAUGGAGGUAGAGCACUGUUUGGACUAGGGGCCCAUCUCGGGUUACCGAAUUCAGAUAAACUCCGAAUGCCAUUCAUUUAUAUCCGGGAGUCAGACUGCGAGUGAUAAGAUCCGUAGUCGAAAGGGAAACAGCCCAGACCACCAGCUAAGGUCCCAAAAUAUAUGUUAAGUGGAAAAGGAUGUGGGGUUGCACAGACAACUAGGAUGUUGGCUUAGAAGCAGCCACCAUUUAAAGAGUGCGUAAUAGCUCACUAGUCGAGUGACCCUGCGCCGAAAAUGUACCGGGGCUAAACAUAUUACCGAAGCUGUGGACUACACCAUUAGGUGUAGUGGUAGGAGAGCGUUCUAAGGGCGUUGAAGGUCGAUCGUGAGGACGGCUGGAGCGCUUAGAAGUGAGAAUGCCGGUAUGAGUAGCGAAAGACAGGUGAGAAUCCUGUCCACCGUAUGACUAAGGUUUCCUGGGGAAGGCUCGUCCGCCCAGGGUUAGUCGGGACCUAAGCCGAGGCCGAUAGGCGUAGGCGAUGGACAACAGGUUGAUAUUCCUGUACCAGUUGUUUUUGUUUGAGCAAUGGAGGGACGCAGUAGGCUAAGGAAUGCAUGCGAUUGGAAGUGCAUGUCCAAGCAAUGAGUCUUGAGUAGAGUUAAAUGCUUUACUCUUUAAGGACAAGUUGUGACGGGGAGCGAAAUAAUAGUAGCGAAGUUCCUGAUGUCACACUGCCAAGAAAAGCUUCUAGUGAGAAAACAACUGCCCGUACCGUAAACCGACACAGGUAGUCGAGGAGAGUAUCCUAAGGUGAGCGAGCGAACUCUCGUUAAGGAACUCGGCAAAAUGACCCCGUAACUUCGGGAGAAGGGGUGCUGACUUCGGUCAGCCGCAGUGAAUAGGCCCAAGCGACUGUUUAUCAAAAACACAGGUCUCUGCAAAAUCGUAAGAUGAAGUAUAGGGGCUGACGCCUGCCCGGUGCUGGAAGGUUAAGAGGAUGGGUUAGCUUCGGCGAAGCUCAGAAUUGAAGCCCCAGUAAACGGCGGCCGUAACUAUAACGGUCCUAAGGUAGCGAAAUUCCUUGUCGGGUAAGUUCCGACCCGCACGAAAGGCGUAACGAUUUGGGCACUGUCUCAACGAGAGACUCGGUGAAAUUUUAGUACCUGUGAAGAUGCAGGUUACCCGCGACAGGACGGAAAGACCCCAUGGAGCUUUACUGUAGUUUGAUAUUGAGUGUUUGUACCACAUGUACAGGAUAGGUAGGAGCCGAUGAGACCGGA
rnacentral:rRNA from 1 species